UACGUAGGGUGCGAGCGUUGUCCGGAAUUAUUGGGCGUAAAGGGCUCGUAGGCGGUCUGUCGCGUCGGAUGUGAAAGCCCGGGGCUUAACUCCGGGUCUGCAUUCGAUACGGGCAGACUAGAGUGUGGUAGGGGAGAUCGGAAUUCCUGGUGUAGCGGUGAAAUGCGCAGAUAUCAGGAGGAACACCGGUGGCGAAGGCGGAUCUCUGGGCCAUUACUGACGCUGAGGAGCGAAAGCGUGGGGAGCGAACAGG
rnacentral:rRNA from 1 species